UUGGUUAAGCUACUAAGAGCACACGGAGGAUGCCUAGGCGCUAGGAGCCGAAGAAGGACGUGGCGAACAACGAUACUGCCUCGGGGAGCUGUAAGCAAGCUUCGAUCCGGGGAUGUCCGAAUGGGGAAACCCAGCUAGUGUAAUAGCUAGUUACCCGUAUCUGAAUACAUAGGAUGCGAGGAGGCAUACCCAGGGAACUGAAACAUCUAAGUACCUGGAGGAAGAGAAAACAAGAGUGAUUCCGUCAGUAGCGGCGAGCGAACGCGGAACAGCCUAAACCAGAGAGCUUGCUCUCUGGGGUUGUGGGACGUCUCACAUGGAGUUACAAAGGAA
rnacentral:rRNA from 1 species